rnacentral:lncRNA from 1 species
CUUACACUGACAUAACAUUUGUGAUGCAGCUAUGAAGCUACAUCAUCUAGGAAAAACCGUAGCCUCGGGAUGGAGCUCGCAUCUGCAACAGUAGCAUCUGUUUUCUUGGUAUGCCUUUACUCUUCUUUCUUCAUUUUAACCUUUUUAAUAGUGAUCGCAAACCCUAGUGUUGUGGUUUAAAACUGUUCCUCUGUUAAUCGCAGGGGUUUGGAUCGUUGUUUUUGCUACUUGCGAGUGGUGUUUAUGUCUGAUACUUCUUCCUCAAUACUGUUUCCGACUAGUUCAGUUAAGGAGUGAAAAAAUCAAGAGUUUUGAUGAAUUAAAAAAGUGCGGUUAAAUAAUAAAAUUUAACCAACAGAUUUAAUCCAGGUUUUAAUUACUUGACUUGACCCAUGUUUUGCACCGUUCAGUUCCGUUUUCAACAACAAAAAUAAUUAAAAUUAACUUUUAAUUUAUUUUAUUUUUUAAAAAUAGUGUUUUUUAUUCUAUUUGACUAUAUAUCAGUUUUUUUUAUUUAAAUAAAAAAAC